ACAUACUGCGGGUACACGGUAGCUUUGAGGCUGAAAAGAGAGGAAUGUGUGGAAAAGAUUACUUUUCUGCUCAGCAGCCAGAGCUCGGGCUUUGACUUCAGGGAGACUCACUUCAAGGAAGGCUAGGCUCACUUCAAGGAAAGAUUGGUCCCUCUUUCCGCCGUAAGUCCCUUCCUCAGGCCCCACCUCUUCUAGGGCUCUCCGCACAUUGGCGGAUCUCUGCGCCCUUUCGCCCUGCCAACCAACGAUAGGACAAAACUGGGCGAGAGGCGGAGCCAGAGCUCCCACAGAUCAGUGGGCUGGCGAGGGGUCUGGAGGACUCCAGCCUCUCGAGCACAGAGGUGCAGAAACCUCCCGAUGCCUAGAAAGACCGGACGUUUAGGGUGGGAGUUAAUGGGGCAUCAGUGACGUAGUUCCUUCUCCGCUUUGUUCCAAGACGUGGGUCGGGAGCUUUUGGUGAGGGUGAUCCAAGACCCCACUAGGAACUUUUUCACCAAACCCAAAGAAGAGAUGAGGCAAGAUCUGUGCUGGGCAGAGAUCCUUUGGAGUGAGGCAACUGUACACAGACAUGAAAGUGAACCAUUUUCUUCUCUUCAGCAGGUAUUGCCUCUUAUUCAUCACUCCACUGUAGCUAAUCAGUAACCAAAGACAUGUGACUCAAAAGGACCUGAAAGUCUGAGGAUCCUGGUGAAUUAGAGGAAUGCAAUCUCACUAGGUCUUAUAGAUGAUGUUCUUCAAGCUUUAAGGAAGAAGUCAAGCAAGAAUUGAGGGACCCCGGAGAGGCGUCUGUCUUAAAUGGCAACAAUGACAAGAGAAAAUUGGGCCCACAGUGCUCUGCGACAAGAGGGCCUCGUUAAAGGGAAGGAUGAUACCUGGAAGUGGGGAACCAGCUUCCAAGGGAGUAGCUCCACUGUUUGGGAGACCUCCCACCUGCACUUUAGACAGUUACGUUAUCAUGAGACAUCUGGACCCCAGGAGGCACUGAGUCGGCUCCGGGAGCUCUGUCGCCGGUGGCUGAGGCCAGAAGCACGCACCAAGGCCCAGAUCCUGGAGCUGCUGGUGCUGGAGCAAUUCCUCAGCAUCCUGCCUGGGGAGAUACGGACCUGGGUGCAGAUCCAUCGCCCCGGGAGUGGUGAGGAGGCCGUGGCCCUGGUAGAAGAGCUGCAGAAAGACCUUGAUGGACCAGCAUUUAAAGUUCCAGCCUUUGUCCAGGACCAGGACACUCUCCAGGAGGGUCUGAGUACUCCAGGAAUAGCACUUCCUCAUGCACCCACUGGCAGCCACAUAUCAGCUGAAAUUCGCUCAAGUUCUCUUACUGACCCAGUGGUGUUCGGCUUGCUCCAGGAUCCUCAACAUGAUUCUCCUUCCCCUGAAGCUUCUGCCCUUUCCCAGGAAGAGAACCCCAGAAAUCAAUUAAUGGCUCUCAUGCUCUUGACAGCCCAGCCCCAGGAAUUGGUGAUGUUUGAGGAGGUAUCAGUAUGCUUCACUUCAGAAGAAUGGGCAUGUUUGAGCCCAGUUCAGAGGGCCUUGUACUGGGAUGUGAUGCUGGAGAAUUACGGAAAUGUGACUUCCUUAGAAUGGGAGACCAUGACUGAGAAUGAGGAGGUGACAUCCAAGUUGAGCAUAUCUCAAAGAGCAGAUUCUCAGAGAGGAAUAUCAAAUAGAUUUCAAGGAGGUGUUCCCCAGCUUCUUGACUUUGAGGAAGAGUGUGAAUGGCAAGUUUUUUCAAGUCAGUGGGGAAAUGAAGCAAGGGAAAGAGAUAUACUGAAGAAAGGUUCCCUGUGUGAACGAGACAAGAAAAAAAGGACUCCACCAGAAAAACGAGGCCAAAAGUGGAAGGAAUUUGAAGAAAGCUUGGCUUCAGAUUCAGCUUUUUCUGAAAGUUUAAUAGGUGCUGAAGGAAAGAAGCUUUAUAAAUGUGAUAUAUGUUGUAAACAUUUCAAUAAAAUCUCCCAUCUUAUAAAUCAUCGGAGGAUCCACACUGGGGAGAAACCUCAUAAAUGUAAGGAGUGUGGAAAAGGCUUUAUUCAGCGCUCAAGCCUUCUAAUGCACUUACGAAACCAUUCUGGUGAGAAACCUUAUAAAUGUAAUGAAUGUGGGAAAGCCUUCUCUCAGAGUGCUUACCUUCUAAACCAUCAGAGAAUCCACACUGGGGAGAAACCUUAUAAAUGUAAGGAGUGUGGAAAGGGCUUCUAUAGGCACUCAGGCCUUAUUAUACAUCUAAGACGCCAUUCUGGGGAGAGACCCUAUAAAUGUAAUGAGUGUGGCAAAGUUUUUUCUCAGAAUGCUUACCUCAUUGACCACCAGAGACUCCACAAAGGAGAAGAACCUUAUAAAUGUAACAAAUGUCAGAAAGCUUUCAUUCUGAAGAAGAGCCUCAUUCUGCACCAGAGAAUCCACUCUGGGGAAAAACCCUAUAAAUGUGAUGAAUGUGGAAAAACUUUUGCCCAGACCACUUACCUGGUUGACCAUCAGCGGCUCCACAGUACAGAGAACCCAUAUAAAUGUAAAGAAUGUGGAAAAGUUUUCAUUCGAAGCAAAAGCCUCCUCCUACACCAGAGAGUUCACACAGAAAAGAAGACUUUUGGUUGUAAAAAAUGUGGGAAGAUUUUCACUUCUAAGUCAAGUCUCAUUGAUCAUAAGAGGAUGCAUAGCAGAGAGAAGCCUUAUAAAUGUACUGAAUGUGGGAAAGCCUUCACUCAGAGUGCUUACCUUUUUGAUCAUCAGAGACUCCACAAUGGGGAGAAGCCCUACGAAUGUAAUGAAUGUGGGAAAGUUUUCAUUCUGAAAAAGAGCCUCAUUUUACAUCAGAGGUUCCACACUGGAGAGAAUCUCUAUGAAUGUAAAGACUGUGGCAAAGUCUUUGGUUCUAAUAGAAACCUCAUUGACCACGAGAGACUCCACAAUGGGGAGAAGCCUUAUGAAUGUCGAGAGUGUGGGAAAACCUUCAUUAUGAGCAAAAGUUUCAUGGUCCAUCAGAAGCUCCAUACACAAGAGAAGGCCUACAAAUGUGAGGAUUGUGGGAAGGCUUUCAGUUACAAUUCAAGCCUGCUCGUACAUCGGAGAAUCCACACCGGGGAAAAGCCCUUCGAAUGCAGUGAAUGUGGAAGAGCUUUCAGUUCUAACAGAAACCUCAUUGAACAUAAGAGAAUCCACAGUGGUGAGAAACCAUAUGAGUGUAAUGAGUGUGGCAAAUGCUUCAUUCUGAAGAAAAGCCUCAUUGGACAUCAGAGGAUUCACACAAGGGAAAAAUCUUACAAAUGUAAUGACUGUGGGAAAGUCUUCAGUUACCGCUCCAACCUUAUAGCCCAUCAGAGAAUCCACACUGGUGAGAAGCCCUAUGCAUGUAAUGAGUGUGGGAAGGGCUUUACUUAUAAUAGAAAUCUUAUUGAGCAUCAAAGAAUUCACAGUGGAGAAAAAACCUAUGAAUGUCAUAUAUGUAGGAAAGUGCUUACCUCUAGUAGAAAUCUUAUGGUGCAUCAAAGAAUCCAUACUGGAGAAAAACCUUAUAAAUGUAGUGAGUGUGGAAAAGACUUUAGUCAGAACAAAAACCUUGUUGUACAUCAGAGAAUGCACACUGGGGAAAAACCAUAUGAAUGUGAAAAGUGUAGAAAAUCUUUUACUUCUAAGAGGAAUUUAGUUGGUCACCAGAGAAUCCACACAGGAGAGAAACCAUAUGGUUGUAAUGACUGUAGUAAAGUUUUUAGGCAAAGAAAAAACCUGACUGUACAUCAGAAAAUUCAUACAGAUGAAAAAAACUGUGAAUGUGAUGAGUCUGAAAAAGAAUUCUCUCAGACUUCAAACCUUCAUCUUCAACAAAAAAUCCAUUCUUUGGAGGAUUUUAGGUCCUAUUCUCUCGGGUCCAAAUUCUCUUGGGUCCAAAAUGCCAGUGAGUCCAAGAUCAAGAUUCAAAAAAUCUAGUAUUGUGUAAAAUGGAAUAGCAUCCCUGCCUCUGUAAGUGACUGUUGGAUAAAUGGCAGCAUAUGGUUUUUAUAAGGGAAAAAAGUCAUGAUUGACCCUUUUGUAGACAAAUAUGUUGCAUGAGGCAGAAAGUUCAUCUAGACUUCCAAGACUGUGAAAACAUAAGCCAAAUUCUAGUUAAAGGAUACUCAGUUCCAAAUCAUUUCUUAUGAACCUAGAAAAGGACCUUGAAGCACUUAAAGAUUCUGAAGAAACUGAAUUAUGAUUUAUAAGAUAUAAUGAUGAUGUUGUAAAUGAAAACAAAAAUAUCUUUGGAUUAAAAAGUGUAUGUUUUGAAGAUACGUAUAUAUGGUACAUCUUAAAGAUAGUAUCACUCUAGAGAAUGUCUGUGCAGACAGUGUGAUUAAGACAUACAAAACAUGAAGUUGGGUGGGCAGGACUGCUCUUUGAGGACAAUUUAAGUACACUGGAUUUGGAAUCUGAAAACCUAGGUUUGGAUCCUGGCUCUUUCACUUACGAGCUCUGUGAUGUUAUUAAGUCAGUCUCUAAGUCUCAGUUUCUCUGUCAGUCAAAUACUGGCAUAACCCCUACUUCAGAGAAUUGUUUUGAGCAUUUCGUAAAAGGAUCACAUGAAAGUACUUUAUGAAAUAAUUUAAUCGUCAAUAAAGUUGGAUAAAAGAGAUGUGGUCAAAAUCUGGAAAAUGGCAUAAUGUAGUGUUUGUUCAUCAAGUUAAUAUUAGGACUUCAUGAACCUCAAAAGUUUAAUUUUUAUUGUAAGAGGAGGUAUGGUGGAUGGUUAACUUUGGAAUUUAGUACUCUAAAAAAACUUUAAAAACAGCUUUUUAAAUGUUUAAUGGAGAUAAUACAUAACAUACCUAGUUUGUUUUUAUGGAAAAAAAUAUUGGCUUACUAAAUAAUGUCUGACCAUUAAUUUGAUGCCAAGAAAAAAGUUUAUUUUUAAACCUUUGAAUUUUAAACCUAGCAGAUGUAGAGUGUCAAAAUAGGACAGUCCUGUCUCACUUCCCUUGCUGAUAGGGAAAAAUCCUUAACCUCAACCCCAGGGCUGAUUAUCUCUGCAAGUGUCAUUGUCACUUCUAAUCAAUAUUUUGUUGGUGACAUACAAAUGGCUUGCUACUCAAGAAACAACAUCCUAUCCCAGCACUCAACUUACCACAUAAGUUUUUUUACAUAGCCAAGCUCUUCAAAUCUCUGAUUAUACCAAUUCAGAAUCCAUCUCUGAGUGGUCAGGCCCAUUUACUCCCAGUGAACCAAUCAUUCAUUCAUUUUGUACCCUUUUUGUACAUUUGUAAACUUAAUUCUUCAUGUAUUCUUGGUUUGGUAAUUUUAUGUUGUAAUUCUCAGAACACUAGUUCUGUCACUGAAGUAUAAAUACCUUAAUAUUGGGAUUUUGUUUCCUGAUAUUUAGCAGCAUUGCAGUGGUAUGUUAAUUAUAGUAAGUGUUAUGAAUUCAACCCCGAAGUUCUUUAAGGGCUGGUUCCUUUUUAGACUGAAAGGACCAAGAGUGAAAACUGGAAGGGGCCUGGGUUAAAAGUCUGAAGGCCGUAGAGUCAGAUUCUACCACUUUUCCUUGGACGAAUGGUUUCAUUUCUUGGAGCCUUGGUUUCUUCAUCUGUUAAAUGGAAGACUAUCUACCUCCCUAAGUUGUUAUGGGGUAAUGAAUAUGAAGAUGCUUUAUGUCCAUACUGAAGAAAAAUUACCCCAAUUAUGUAAUAAUCACAUGUACUUUAACAAUGGAGAGAUCUGGCAUUUACCUCUUAAUCAGUUUAACAAAAUGUAACAUUGCUGAGACAAGUCACAUCAUGUGCCUCCCACCACAUGUAAUGCAAUAAGCCAAAAGUAUAACCUGAAUUUAUCAAGCUUCUUAGGCCUGAUUGCUAGUUUACAGGAAAUAUAGGAGGCAAAGGAACAAGAUAAAAGACAUCAUAAGAAACAAGUUCAGAAUGUGGCGUAUUGUCUAGGAAAACCCCUGCGGGAAUCCCCUGGCUGCCCUGUGGUGAGGCCUCUGCUUUCACUGCGGAGAGCGAACAUUCAAUCCUUAAUUCAGUUGAGGAACUAAGAUCCUACAAACUGGGCAGUGCAUCCAAAUAAAAAGCCACUGCACUGGAUUCUUCAAAGAUGAUGAAAAAGAGAAGGGGGUGAUAAUAAUUGUUGAUGCUCGGUGAGUAUUGAGAGUUUACUGUACUACUUUUGUAUAUGUAUGAAAUUUUCCAUAAUGAAAGAUACAAGUGGGGGCGGGGGGGUGGUUUAAAAGAUACUAAAGAGCCGUAAGAUACUGAGCCAGGAAUAGACUCACAAAUGCCCAAAUGAUUUUUGACAGGUGCAAAAGCACUUCAGGAGAGGAUGAAUAGCCUUUCAACAAAUGCUGCUGCAACAAUUGCAUAGCCAUAUUCAAAAAGAAAAAAUCAGUAAGACUAAGCAAAGAAAUCUUAAACAUAUCAAAAGCAUGCUGCAAAAAAGGAAAAAAGUGAUACAUUGAACCUCAUCAAAAAAAUAAUUUUCUCUGCAAAAGGCUCUAAAGAGGAUGAAAAGGCAUUACACUCUGGGAGAAAGUGUUUGCAAAUCAUAUAUCCAACACAGAAUUUGUAUCUAGGCUAGAUAAUUCUCAAAACUCAGCAAUAAUAAAUAGAUCCAAUUAGUAUAUGGGCAAAGGACAUGAACAGGUUAUUUUACCAAAGUAUAGAUUGGCAAGUGAAAAGAUACUCAACAUCAUUAGCCACUAGGGAAUUGCAAGAUAAUCUGUACAGCUAUCAGAAGAGCUUUUAAAUAUUUUAACACCAAGUGCUGGCAAGGAUGCAAAGGAACUGAAUCUAUUACAUUGCCAGGAAUGAGAAAUAGUACAGCCACUGUGCUGGAAUAAUUUGGCAGUUUCUUAUAAAACCAAACAUUCAUUUAACCAUAUCACCUAGUAUUUGCACUCUGAGCAUUCAUCUCAAAAAAAAUGAAAGCCCCUGUUACACACACAAGCCUGUAUGUGAUUGUUAAAAGCAGUUUUAUUAAUAGUAAUUUGUAAUAACUCAUCAAAUAUCCUUCAACAGGUAUUUAAAAGAAACUGCAAUAUAUCUAUACCAUGGAAUACUUAUUACUCUGCAGUAAAAUUGAAUGACCUAUUGAUAUCUGCAGUGACUCAAAUGUAUUCCAAGAGAAUUAUGCUGAGUGAAAAAAUCCAAUCUCGAGAGGUCAUAUACUGUAUGGUCACAUUUAUAUAAUACUCUAAAAUAACAAAAGUACAGGGAUGAAAAACCAGAUUAGUGGUUGCCAGAGGUUGGGGAUGGAGGGAUGGAGCAGCAGAAGAGGGAGGGGUUACACUUGGGGAGGUCUUGGUGUUGGAAGCAUUGUGUAUGUGAAUUGUGAUGGUGGUUCCACAGAUCUACACGUGAUAAAAUGACAAGUACACACACAUUGUACCAGUGUCAGUUUCCUGAUUUUUAUCUUAAAUUAUAAUUAUGUAAGAUGUACCCAUUGGUGGAAACUAGUUGAAAGUUAUUAUCUCUGCAACUCCUGUGAAUCUGUAAAUUCAUACUAAAAAGCAAAUCAAAACUAAACAGCCAUACCAAAUACAAUGUGUGAAACUGACUUGGAAAAACAAUGAAGUCUAUAUUUUAGGACAAUUGGAAAUUUGAAAAUGACUGAUGAUAGAUGAUAUUAGGGAAUUUUUGUUAAUUUUCCUACCUGUAAUGGUGGUAUUGUUAGUGUUGAGAUUAUUAUUAUUAAAAGAUACAUAUAGAAAUAUUUGGAAUGAGUAUUUUGAUGAUUACAACUUUAAAAAUGUUUCUCAGUAUGUAUAGAGAGAGAAGGCAAACGUUGUUUAGUUGCUCAGUAAUGUCUGACUCUUGUGACUUCAUGGGCUACAGAAGCCUACCUGGAUCCUUUGUCCGUGGAAUUCUGCAGGCAAGAAUACUAGAGCGGAUUGCCAUUUCCUUCUCCAGGGGAUUUUGGAUUUAGGGAUCUAAUCCUGUGCCCUGAAAUGGCAGGCAGAUUCUUUACCACUAAGCCACCAGGAAAGCCCAACGCAAAGAGAGUGAAGUGUUAGUUGUUGAGUACAGGCGUUCAUUGUACCAUUCUCUGUACAUUUGAUAUUUCCAAAAUAAAACAUUCAGGUCAAAAUGAUCAGGGCCUUCUACAGAUGGAUACUCUGUACCUUCAGGCUGCCGGCUGCGCGCCUCACUUCAGUGCUCUUGCCAGGCAUAGGAAUGCCCCUUGCCCUGAGGUUCAGGGUCCCCAGGCCACCUGCACUCUUCCUCUAAGCUUGUUCUUUCAUCCCAGAUCGGUAGCGAAAUUGGACACCCAACGAGAAGACAGUACCUCCAAGAUUCCUAGAGAGGCUGGUCUGGCGACUUGGGGAGCCGGAAGCCCAUCCCCAGGCACUUCCUGUCCGGUCAUUGUUCUCGUGCCGGUAGGCGCCGGGGUCCAGGCCAGCCGCUUUCUGCUCCAGAGCUCUCAAGCUCCGGCCGUGCUUCUGCUCCGCGCACGAUGCUACUCAUCAUGUCCCUGGGAGGAAACUCAGGAAGAAGCUUUUGAAACUUAAAGAUUAGAUGGGGCUUGACUUCUGCUGGGCAGCCCCCAGCCGUAGGAAUUCUGCUGAGCAGAGACGAUGACUGCAGAGUUGAGAGAGGCUGUGGCCCUGGCCCACUGGGGCCCAGUGACAGUGAAAAAAGAGGAAGAGGAGGAAGGCUUUGCGGGCCAGGCAUCCAGCCAACAAGUGCACUCUGAAAACAUCAAAGUCUGGGCUCCUGGGGAGGCGCCUCAGACAUGCCUCCCUGUGUCAGAACAGGAGGAAAAGGGGCAGAAUGUGUUCUGGGACAUGGCUGUAGUCCUGAAACCAACACAAGAGGCACCUGCUGCUUCAACCCCAGGCAACUCUUCAUUACCAGAGACUCUGGCCAAGAGCGAGCUACUGGACACUCAUGGGAACAUGGGAUGUCUAGCCUGCAUGGCCAGUUACUUGAGGACGGAUGGAGACUGCACAGCAGAGCCACCGACACUGCUGGGCUAUGUUCCUUUGAAAAGAUCAACAAGUCUUCUAAUAACAACCCUGGUUACCACUGCAUUCCAUUUGAGUGAGACACUGCUAACAGACCCCUUCCCAGAUACAGGAGUCACAGAAUAAAGCUGGAGGCAUGCCCACUUUGCUCUCUUCCACCCAGGCCAGCCAGAGGGCUCAGCUUGGGCAUCGUCACUUUCCAAAUGAUCUGGUCAUUAGAAGAAAUAAUGGAGCCCUUGUACUUCUGAGAGGACCCAAGAGGAAAAUGAACAGAGAGGGAGGGGGCAGAGUGGGAUUCCUAAGGUCUUAAUUUGGUUUUUUUUUGAAAAUCAGAAGUAUUGGCAUAUGAGAACUUUUAGGAGGAGGAAGAAACUGGCUAAGGUAAGAUACCUUUGUUAGCAUUUGAGCCUUUAUUCCUGGAAAAACAGUUUCUACAACUAUGCAAUAGGAAGAGUCAUGUAAUAAUAUUGCCUUGUAUUUAUAUAGAA